AUACUUACCUGGCAGGGGUGACACCAUGAUCAUGAAGGUGGUUUGCUCAGGGUGAGGCUCCGUCAUUGCACUCCGACGGAGCUGAUAUCUCUGCGAAUUCCCCAAAUGUGGGAAUCUCGACUGCACAAUUUGUGGUAGUGGGGGUCAGCGUUCGCGCUACCCCUG